AUUUCUUGCCAUUUAUUGCUGACCCAUAAGCGAUAUAAUUACCCUGAGUGCCAACAUAAAUGUUGAAAUUUGGAUUUCCCUUGGUGUUGAUUGUUGAACAAACUGAAGUUAUUCCUCCAGCAUCUUUGGUUGGAUGAAUUUCGAAGAAAAUCAAUUGGUUAAAUCGAUUUGGUCACGAAAAUUAUAAUCAAUGUUCAUUAACAUGAAUUAUCAACCUACGUUUUUUUUCAAAACAUACUAAUCGAGUAACUAAUAAGCCAUCAAAGAUCAACCCAGUUAUUCAAAUCUGUGAUUCAUGUACAUGAAUUUUCAGUUGGAAAAAUGUUUCAUGUCUAAUCAACAUUAUCGUUUUCGUAUAUUAUUAUUAUUGAUCACUGAUGUCCCAUGUAAUGAGAAGCCCAUUUACAUCACUUGAAACCAAAAUGUUAUUGGAAAGAUAUUUAAUGCACCCAAUUGAAGUCUAUGAUUUGAAAGAAUUGGAAAAAAAAUCAGUCAUUCUAUAUAUAUCGUGUUAAUAUUUAACUGACCUCUUGAGCUUUGAGGUCAGUUACUCGGAAGACCAUUCCGUUGUCAGGAUUUUGUGACCAGAGAGUGAAAAAGCCAUCAGCUGAUCCAGUUAAGAAAUCGCCAUUAGAUAAAAAAUCAAUACAAGUGAAAAGAACUGGUUCCUUUGAUUUCUUUAAAAAGAAAUUACAACAAUUAGACGUUUUGAUUAGCCAACUGAUUUAUUAAUUUUUCGAAAUCAACUCAACUGGUUUG